rnacentral:rRNA from 1 species
AGCUUCCGUUGAAUGACGUGCUUGCACUGAUUUCAACAAUGAAGCGAGUGGCGAACUGGUGAGUAACACGUGGGGAAUCUGCCCAGAAGCAGGGGAUAACACUUGGAAACAGGUGCUAAUACCGUAUAACAACAAAAUCCGCAUGGAUUUUGUUUGAAAGGUGGCUUCGGCUAUCACUUCUGGAUGAUCCCGCGGCGUAUUAGUUAGUUGGUGAGGUAAAGGCCCACCAAGACGAUGAUACGUAGCCGACCUGAGAGGGUAAUCGGCCACAUUGGGACUGAGACACGGCCCAAACUCCUACGGGAGGCAGCAGUAGGGAAUCUUCCACAAUGGACGAAAGUCUGAUGGAGCAAUGCCGCGUGAGUGAAGAAGGGUUUCGGCUCGUAAAACUCUGUUGUUAAAGAAGAACACCUUUGAGAGUAACUGUUCAAGGGUUGACGGUAUUUAACCAGAAAGCCACGGCUAACUACGUGCCAGCAGCCGCGGUAAUACGUAGGUGGCAAGCGUUGUCCGGAUUUAUUGGGCGUAAAGCGAGCGCAGGCGGUUUUUUAAGUCUGAUGUGAAAGCCUUCGGCUUAACCGGAGAAGUGCAUCGGAAACUGGGAGACUUGAGUGCAGAAGAGGACAGUGGAACUCCAUGUGUAGCGGUGGAAUGCGUAGAUAUAUGGAAGAACACCAGUGGCGAAGGCGGCUGUCUAGUCUGUAACUGACGCUGAGGCUCGAAAGCAUGGGUAGCGAACAGGAUUAGAUACCCUGGUAGUCCAUGCCGUAAACGAUGAGUGCUAAGUGUUGGAGGGUUUCCGCCCUUCAGUGCUGCAGCUAACGCAUUAAGCACUCCGCCUGGGGAGUACGACCGCAAGGUUGAAACUCAAAGGAAUUGACGGGG